GGCUGGGUGGCGCAAUGGUAGCGCGUCUGAUUCCAGUCAAAGGAAUAUCCAGAAGGUUAGGUGUUCAAAUCACCUCUCGGUCA